AUGCACGCUGGCGGCGUGCCUAAUACAUGCAAGUCGAGCGAACAGACGAGGAGCUUGCUCCUCUGACGUUAGCGGCGGACGGGUGAGUAACCCGUGGAUAACCUACCUAUAAGACUGGGAUAACUUCGGGAAACCGGAGCUAAUACCGGAUAACAUGUUGAACCGCAUGGUUCAACAGUGAAAGACGGUCUUGCUGUCACUUAUAGAUGGAUCCGCGCCGCAUUAGCUAGUUGGUAAGGUAACGGCUUACCAAGGCAACGAUGCGUAGCCGACCUGAGAGGGUGAUCGGCCACACUGGAACUGAGACACGGUCCAGACUCCUACGGGAGGCAGCAGUAGGGAAUCUUCCGCAAUGGGCGAAAGCCUGACGGAGCAACGCCGCGUGAGUGAAGAAGGUCUUCGGAUCGUAAAACUCUGUUAUUAGGGAAGAACAAAUGUGUAAGUAACUAUGCACGUCUUGACGGUACCUAAUCAGAAAGCCACGGCUAACUACGUG
rnacentral:rRNA from 1 species